AGCGAACGCUGGCGGCAGGCUUAACACAUGCAAGUCGAGCGGGCACUUUCGGGUGUCAGCGGCGGACGGGUGAGUAACGCGUGGGAACGUGCCCCCUGGUUCGGAAUAACUCAGGGAAACUUGAGCUAAUACCGGAUACGCCCUUUUGGGGAAAGGCUUGCUGCCGGAGGAUCGGCCCGCGUCUGAUUAGCUAGUUGGUGAGGUAACGGCUCACCAAGGCGACGAUCAGUAGCUGGUCUGAGAGGAUGAUCAGCCACACUGGGACUGAGACACGGCCCAGACUCCUACGGGAGGCAGCAGUGGGGAAUAUUGGACAAUGGGCGCAAGCCUGAUCCAGCCAUGCCGCGUGAGUGAUGAGGCCUUAGGGUUGUAAAGCUCUUUUAUCCGGGACGAUAAUGACGGUACCGGAGGAAUAAGCCCCGGCUAACUUCG
rnacentral:rRNA from 1 species